UACGGAGGGUGCGAACGUUAAUCGGAAUCACUGGGCGUAAAGCGCGCGUAGGCGGUCUGUUAAGUGGGAUGUGAAAUCCCCGGGCUUAACCUGGGAAUUGCAUUUCAAACUGGCCGACUAGAGUACGGUAGAGGGAUGUAGAAUUUCCUGUGUAGCGGUGAAAUGCGUAGAUAUAGGAAGGAAUACCAGUGGCGAAGGCGGCCUCCUGGAUCGAUACUGACGCUGAGGCGCGAAAGCGUGGGGAGCAAACAGG
rnacentral:rRNA from 1 species